rnacentral:rRNA from 1 species
GACGUAGGGUGCGAGCGUUGUCCGGAUUUAUUGGGCGUAAAGAGCUCGUAGGCGGUUUGUCGCGUCUGCUGUGAAAUCCCGAGGCUCAACCUCGGGCCUGCAGUGGGUACGGGCAGACUGGAGUGCGGUAGGGGAGAAUGGAAUUCCUGGUGUAGCGGUGGAAUGCGCAGAUAUCAGGAGGAACACCGAUGGCGAAGGCAGUUCUCUGGGCCGUAACUGACGCUGAGGAGCGAAAGCGUGGGAGCAACAGG